GGGGUUCGAUCAUGGCUCAGAUUGAACGCUGGCGGGAUGCUUUACAUGCAAGUCGAACGGCAGCACGGACUUCCGGUCUGGUGGCGAGUGGCGAACGGGUGAGUAAUGUAUCCGGAACGUGCCUGGUAUGGCAGAGGAUAACUACGCGAAAGCGUAGCUAAUACCGCAUACGCUGUCAAGGAAAAGCAGGGGACCUUCCCGGAACUCGCACUAUUAGAGCGUAACCGAUAUCAAGGAUUAGCUAGUUGGUGGGGAGUAACAGCUCACCAGGCGACGAUCCGUAGCUGGUUUGAAGGACGACCAGCCCUGGGACUGAGACACGGCCCAGACUCCUACGGGAGGCAGCAGUGGGGUACACGGUGGCUGGGGGAAACCUGAUCCAGCCAUCCCGCGUGUGCGAUGAAGGCGGGUUAUAAAGCUUUUGGCAGGAAAGAAACGGCACGGGAUAAUAUUGAUACAUAACCUGACCAUUACAAGAAUUAAGCACCGGCUAACUACGUGCCAGCAGCCGCGUGGCAUCCAGCAAGAUUUGGCAUUAAUCAGAUUCUGGGCGAUAAAGCGUGCGCGAGCAGUUUUCCGGAAAAGAUGUGAAAUCAGGCUUAACUUUGGAACUGCAUUUUUAACUACCGGGCUAAGUGUGUCAGAGGGAGUGGAAUUCCGCGUGGCAGCGGUGAAAUGCGUAGAUAUGCGGAGGAACACCGAUGGCGAAGGCAGCCUCCUGGGAUAACACUGACGGCUCAUGCACGAAAGCGUGGGGAGCAAACAGGAUUAGAUACCCUGGUAGUCCACGCCCUAAACGAUGUCCAGCUAGCUGUUGGGGCCUUCGGGCCUUGGUAGCGCAGCUAACGCGUGAAGUUGACCGCCUGGGAAGUACGGUCGCAAGAUUAAAGCUCUCAAAGGAAUUGACGGGGUUCCCGCACAAGCGGUGGAUGAUGUGGAUUAAUUCGGUCACAACGCGAAAAACCUUACCUACCCUUGACAUGUCUGGAAUCCCGAAGAGAUUUGAGAGUGCUCGCAGAGAACCGGAACACAGGUGCUGCAUGGCUGUCGUCAGCUCGUGUCGUGAGAUGUUGGGUUAAGUCCCGCAACGAGCACAACCCUUAUCAUUAGUUGCUACGAAAGGGCACUCCUAAUGGGGGCUGCCGGUGACAAGCCGGAGGAAGGUGGGGAUGACGUCAAGUCCUCAUGGCCCUUAUGGGUAGGGCUUCACACGUCAUACAAUGGUCGGGACGGGAGAGGUCCGCCAACCCGCGAGAGGGAGCCAAUCCCAGAAACCCGAUCGUAGUCCCGGAUCCGCGGUCUACGCUCAUUUGCGUGAAGUCGGAAUCGCUAGUAAUCGCGGAUCAGCAUGUCGCGGUGAAUACGUUCCAGGUCUUGUACACACCGCCCGUCACACCAUGGGAGUGGGUUUUACCAAGUAGUUAGCCUAACCGUAAAGGAGGCGAUUACCACAGUGGAUGACUGGGGUGAAGUCGUAAUAAGUG
rnacentral:rRNA from 1 species